GCCGUUUUGGCUCAGUGGACAGAGCGUGGGCUUGCAGACCAAAGGGUCCCGGGUUCGAUUCCCGGUCAAGGGCG
rnacentral:tRNA from 1 species